rnacentral:rRNA from 1 species
UUAAAUUGAAGAGUUUGAUCAUGGCUCAGAUUGAACGCUGGCGGCAGGCCUAACACAUGCAAGUCGAACGGUAACAGAAAGCAGCUUGCUGCUUUGCUGACGAGUGGCGGACGGGUGAGUAAUGUCUGGGAAACUGCCUGAUGGAGGGGGAUAACUACUGGAAACGGUAGCUAAUACCGCAUAACGUCGCAAGACCAAAGAGGGGGAC